rnacentral:tRNA from 1 species
UCAAGGAAGAGGCACAUGCCCCACCGUCAGCACCCAAAGCUGAAAUUCUUUUUAAACUAUUCCCUG